GUAUUAGGUUGGUGCAAAAGUAAUUGCAGUUUUGCAAUUACUUUUAGUGGCAAAAACUGCAAUUACUUUUGUGCCAACCUA
rnacentral:miRNA from 1 species